UACGUAGGGUGCGAGCGUUGUCCGGAAUUAUUGGGCGUAAAGAGCUUGUAGGCGGUUUGUCGCGUCUGCUGUGAAAAUCCGGGGCUCAACCCCGGACUUGCAGUGGGUACGGGCAGACUAGAGUGUGGUAGGGGAGACUGGAAUUCCUGGUGUAGCGGUGAAAUGCGUAGAUAUCGAGAGGAACACCUGCGGCGAAGGCGGGUUGCUGGGCUGAUACUGACGCUGAGGCGCGAAAGCUAGGGGAGCGAACGGG
rnacentral:rRNA from 1 species